UUUAUUCAACUUUGCUUGUCUAUUGUAUUUUUUUUUUCAAAUUGUUUUCUUUUUUUUUUGUAAAUGCUACUGGAUUUUUCCAAAUGGGGAUGGUCAUAAUUCUGGUCGAGCUCGGAUCCGGUUAAUACCAGGCACUAGUACCUCGACCUACACGCUGUAGUGUUGAGAAGAAGAGCUCGAUGUGGGGAUCUUAUGGACGGCAAAUCAAAAUCCACCUUGUCUGUUUAAAUCACAAUCUUCCCCACAAUCUCUUUAUGCACAUUGGCC
rnacentral:lncRNA from 1 species